rnacentral:tRNA from 1 species
CAGAGCAUAGCUAAACUUUAUAGCUCUUCUCUUACGCUGAAAAAUUGCUUGCGCAAAUCAGGCUGCUC